UCUUAUUCUGCCUGGUGGAUCCAGACAGAGUGGCCUUUUACAGCGCUCCAAUAAAGAAUGCUGGCCUCCUCCAGCUAUUCAUUAUCUUAAGUGUCUCUGCAGCAGACAGUGAGCAGGGAGCAUUCAGAUGCACAAGGGGAAGGACUGCUGAAAGAAGCUUUUCAAAAGGGAAAAUCUCAGUGGACACUGUUAAUUAAGGAGAGGAUGUGAUGGGUCUGACUGAUGCGGCUGACAUGCUCGUCCUGUCAGCUUGUUGUUCAACAAUGUUCGACUGGCUGUUCUAAAAAGGAUCCAGCCCAUGCUAGUGCUGGAGUUCCUUACAGUUUCCUCGCUCCCCAGAUAGGAGAAAGAAUGUCCUCCUGAGUCCAUCAUUGUUACUCUCCUCGCUGCUCCUCAGAUCCUGCUCCUGGAAGAUUGUUGCUUCCAUCACUUGGCCACUGACGUCACUCUCCCCUGCCCGUUUACCCUCCAACGCCAUCUGCUCCACUGCACGCCUCCUCCUGCAGACGAGGAAACAGAGACUGUGGAUCUUCAAACCACCAAACACCAACACCAGGAUGUCCUCAUACAAAAUCAACUUGUCCAGUCAGAGCCACACUGGAAACUCAGAAGACAAACAAUUCCUCAAAUGAUUUUAAAUAAAUCUGUCAAACUGUUAUCCUGUGUCCAUGAUUGUCACCUGCAACAGAAUCAUUAUUAUAAUAAAC